GUGACGGGAGGGCGCCCCGCCCCUAGCAGGCGUCAGGGGCGGGCCGGGCCGCACCACUCGCGAAUGCGGGGGAGCGCGGGUGUGUGGCGCGGCGGGUGGUACGCGCCGGAUGUGGCCCUCGGGCGGGAUUGAGGCCUGACCCCACGCUGGGUUGCAAGCCGGGGGUCAGUGGUCGCGGGGGCUCGGGUCGGGGGUUCCGGGAGUGUGAAGCCUGCCGCCGGGCGGGCCCUCCCCCUGAAACUCCGCCCCCGUGAUGGCGGCGGGGGCGGGGCUCGACGGCUGUGCCACCCAGACGCCCCCAGUAUGGUCUGAGGCUCUUCCAAGCCCCCUCCCCGGCUUGGCUGCAAAUGUGACAUGUCACCGGGCGUGGAGCUGGGAAGAGAUAGGCACGACUCCCUUGCGCAAGCCAGUGGGAACGGACACCAGCACAGCUCGGCAACAAGCCUUUCUCAUGAAACUUCAGGGGAGUCCUGACAGAGCCGAGGGAGCAGCUGUUGAACAUUGUGUGGUCCGGGAGCCAGCAAUUCCGACUAUCCUGAACGUGAAGGAUGGUGGACGCUGCCCCAAAGCGAUCCUGGAAAAAGCAAGAACAAAAUCUGGCACCAGGAAUCCUGCAUUCCAUCCUGACAACAGCAGUUUGUAACAGAGGAAAAGCUGACCUCAGGAGAAGUCCACGGUUCUCCACGUUUCGACGGCACGCCAGCUGGCACCAGUAAUGGUACUGCGUGGCUCUACCUGGCACUGGGGUUUGUAAAUCCUAGUUGACACUGUGCCUUCUCUGGUUUGGUCUUUGGUAGCGCAGUGUGUGCGUGUGUGUGCGUGUGUAAGGUGGGCUGACGAAAAUCCAUGCGUGACCACAGUUCCCCCUGUUGGAGGAACCAGAGGCCAGCUGGCACUUCGGGGUACCUGUGCUCACUCUGGGUGCUCAGCAAGAUUUCAGACAUCAACGCAUACCAGAACCCAGCCAGGGCAUUACCUGGACCCCUAAUUCCCUACCCUGGUACACUAGAAUCACUAAAGGAGCUAAAAAAAAAAAAAAAAAGCUCCUAGUCCUCAGCCCAGACAGUUGACUAAGAAUGUCUGGGGGUGGAGUCUGGAAAUUAAAACGUUUUGGGGACGCCUGGGUGGCUCAGUCGGUUAAGCAUCUGAAUCUUGAUUUCGG